rnacentral:lncRNA from 1 species
UUUACUUAAAUAAGAAACCUACACAGACUUCCUGCUGUCUGGUGCACUGCUAACUGUUAAAAUGUCCCUUUAUUUUGCAUUGUGCUUUGGGGGUAAUUCAGAGUAAAAAAAGUUCAAAAUACUGCAAGACAAAGUGAAGUGUAGAAUGCCAGUUUAAUAACCAUGCUUGCUGGGACCACAGGCAUAAGUGACUGCCUGCAAAAUGCUUGCU